rnacentral:rRNA from 1 species
AGGACGAACGCUGGCGGCGUGCUUAACACAUGCAAGUCGAACGGAAAGGCCCGCUUGCGGGUACUCGAGUGGCGAACGGGUGAGUAACACGUGGGCAACCUGCCCUCAGCUCUGGGAUAACUCCGGGAAACCGGUGCUAAUACUGGAUAUCGACUUCUGCUCGCAUGGGUGGUUGUUGAAAGUUUUUCGGCUGGGGAUGGGCCCGCGGCCUAUCAGCUAGUUGGCGGGGUAACGGCCCACCAAGGCGACGACGGGUAGC